CUAAUCUGUAAGACUCUCAAAGGGAAUAUACCGUCAUAUCUACAAGACUUUUUUUUCAGUUCGUGACACAGGGUACAAUUUAAGAAAUUCUGAGACGAGAUUAAAUUUGACCAAGCCACGAACAAAUUACUUAAAACGAAGCUUUUGUUAUAGUGUUGUCUACUUGUGGAACAGUCUUCCUCAAGAUAUACGAAAGCUUCAAACAUUUCCACAAUUUAAGAAAGUGUAGAUAAGUAUUAUAAUAAUUCAAGUGAACUCCCACACGGCAAUCUUGUAAACCAGUAGUAUAGAUAAUUCUUAGAUUUUUUUAUAAUUGAUGUGUGUAUGUACCUUAUAACUGUCUUAUUACUCUUAUAAUAGUUAGAUUAUCCAUGUACUGAAGAUUUUACCGUGUUUAAAUAAAUUUGUAUUGAUUGAUUGAUUGAUUGAUUGAUUGAUUGAUUGAUUGAUUGAUUGAUUGAUUGAUUGAUUGAUUGAUUGAUUGAUAUUGAUUCAAUUAAGGUUGUCCCCCGAGCAAGGCGGAAAAGUCGAAUACGAGCG